rnacentral:rRNA from 1 species
CCCUUCGGGGUGUGACUGCGUACCUUUUGUAUAAUGGGUCAGCGACUUAUAUUCUGUAGCAAGGUUAACCGUAUAGGGGAGCCGUAGGGAAACCGAGUCUUAACCGGGCGUUAAGUUGCAGGGUAUAGACCCGAAACCCGGUGAUCUAGCCAUGGGCAGGUUGAAGGUUGGGUAACACUAACUGGAGGACCGAACCGACUAAUGUUGAAAAAUUAGCGGAUGACCUGUGGCUGGGGGUGAAAGGCCAAUCAAACCGGGAGAUAGCUGGUUCUCCCCGAAAGCUAUUUAGGUAGCGCCUCGUGAAUUCAUCUCCGGGGGUAGAGCACUGUUUCGGCUAGGGGGCCAUCCCGGCUUACCAACCCGAUGCAAACUGCGAAUACCGGAGAAUGUUAUCACGGGAGACACACGGCGGGUGCUAACGUCCGUCGUGAAGAGGGAAACAACCCAGACCGCCAGCUAAGGUCCCAAAGUCAUGGUUAAGUGGGAAACGAUGUGGGAAGGCCCAGACAGCCAGGAUGUUGGCUUAGAAGCAGCCAUCAUUUAAAGAAAGCGUAAUAGCUCACUGGUCGAGUCGGCCUGCGCGGAAGAUGUAACGGGGCUAAACCAUGCACCGAAGCUGCGGCAGCGAACGUAUCACCCAAGACAACUUUACGGAGUUGACGAUUGACGGAGCGAAGCGACGUCAAAGCGUUCAUUAAAGUCGAGUUGGCUUAGGGAUACGUUCGUUGGGUAGGGGAGCGUUCUGUAAGCCUGUGAAGGUGUGUCGUGAGGCAUGCUGGAGGUAUCAGAAGUGCGAAUGCUGACAUAAGUAACGAUAAAGCGGGUGAAAAGCCCGCUCGCCGGAAGACCAAGGGUUCCUGUCCAACGUUAAUCGGGGCAGGGUGAGUCGACCCCUAAGGCGAGGCCGAAAGGCGUAGUCGAUGGGAAACGGGUUAAUAUUCCCGUACUUGGUGUUACUGCGAAGGGGGGACGGAGAAGGCUAUGUUGGCCGGGCGACGGUUGUCCCGGUUUAAGCGUGUAGGUGUGUGUUCCAGGUAAAUCCGGUUCACUUUAACACUGAGGCGUGACGACGAGGCACUACGGUGCUGAAGCAACAAAUGCCCUGCUUCCAGGAAAAGCCUCUAAGCAUCAGGUAACACGAAAUCGUACCCCAAACCGACACAGGUGGUCAGGUAGAGAAUACCAAGGCGCUUGAGAGAACUCGGGUGAAGGAACUAGGCAAAAUGGUGCCGUAACUUCGGGAGAAGGCACGCUGACACGUAGGUGAAGUGAUUUACUCAUGGAGCUGAAGUCAGUCGAAGAUACCAGCUGGCUGCAACUGUUUAUUAAAAACACAGCACUGUGCAAACACGAAAGUGGACGUAUACGGUGUGACGCCUGCCCGGUGCCGGAA